rfam:Gonapodya prolifera JEL478 unplaced genomic scaffold M427scaffold_92, whole genome shotgun sequence.
GCCUUCCUAGCUCAAUCGGUAGAGUAUGUGACUUUUAAUCACAGGGUUGGGGGUUCGAGUCCCCCGGAGGGCG